CCUACGUGAGGCAGCAGUGGGGAAUAUUGCACAAUGGGGGAAACCCUGAUGCAGCGACGCCGCGUGAGUGAAGAAGUAUUUAGGUAUGUAAAGCUCUAUCUGUAGGGAAGUAAAAAGUCGGUACCUGACUAAGAAGCCUCUGCUAACUACGUGCCAGCAGCCGAGGUAAUACGCAGGGGGCAAGCGUUAUCCGAAUUUACUGGGUGUAAAGGGAGCGUAGACGGAGCGGCAAGUCUGAGGUGAAAGGCAGGGGCUGAACCCCGGAACUGCUUUGGAAACUGCCAUGUUAGAGUGCAGGAGAGGUAAGUGGAAUUCGUGGUGUAGCGGUGAAAUGCGUAGAUAUUAGGAGGAACACCAGUGGCGAAGGCGGCUUACUGGACAGUAACUGACGUUGAGGCUCGAAAGCGUGGGGAGCAAACAGGAUUAGAUACCCUUGUAGUC
rnacentral:rRNA from 1 species